rnacentral:rRNA from 1 species
UACGUAGGGGGCAAGCGUUGUCCGGAUUUAUUGGGCGUAAAGAGCGUGUAGGCGGCUGGGUAGGUCCGUUGUGAAAACUCGAGGCUCAACCUCGAGACGCCGAUGGAAACCCUCCAGCUAGAGUCCGGAAGAGGAGAGUGGAAUUCCUGGUGUAGCGGUGAAAUGCGCAGAUAUCAGGAAGAACACCGAUGGCGAAGGCAGGUCUCUGGGCAUUAACUGACGCUGAGGAGCGAAAGCAUGGGGAGCGAACAGG